rnacentral:rRNA from 1 species
UACGUAGGGUGCGAGCGUUGCCCGGAUUUAUUGGGCGUAAAGGGCGCGCAGGCGGCUACGCACGUCCGUUGUGAAAUCGCUCGGCUCAACUGGGCGGGGUCAGCGGAUACGGCGUAGCUGGAGCAAGCUAGGGGGCAAUGGAAUUCCCGGUGUAGUGGUGGAAUGCGUAGAUAUCGGGAGGAACACCAGUGGCGAAGGCGGUUGCCUGGAGCUUUGCUGACGCUGAGACGCGAAAGCGUGGGGAGCGAACAGG